GCGCGGAAGAUGUAACGGGGCUAAACCAUGCACCGAAGCUGCGGCAGCGACGCUGAUGCGUUGUUGGGUAGGGGAGCGUUCUGUAAGCCUGUGAAGGUGGCCUGUGAGGGUUGCUGGAGGUAUCAGAAGUGCGAAUGCUGACAUAAGUAACGAUAAAGCGGGUGAAAAGCCCGCUCGCCGGAAGACCAAGGGUUCCUGUCCAACGUUAAUCGGGGCAGGGUGAGUCGACCCCUAAGGCGAGGCCGAAAGGCGUAGUCGAUGGGAAACGGGUUAAUAUUCCCGUACUUGGUGUUACUGCGAAGGGGGGACGGAGAAGGCUAUGUUGGCCGGGCGACGGUUGUCCCGGUUUAAGCGUGUAGGUGUGUGUUCCAGGUAAAUCCGGUUCACUUUAACACUGAGGCGUGAUGACGAGGCACUACGGUGCUGAAGCAACAAAUGCCCUGCUUCCAGGAAAAGCCUCUAAGCAUCAGGUAACAUCAAAUCGUACCCCAAACCGACACAGGUGGUCAGGUAGAGAAUACCAAGGCGCUUGAGAGAACUCGGGUGAAGGAACUAGGCAAAAUGGUGCCGUAACUUCGGGAGAAGGCACGCUGACACGUAGGUGAAGUGAUUUACUCAUGGAGCUGAAGUCAGUCGAAGAUACCAGCUGGCUGCAACUGUUUAUUAAAAACACAGCACUGUGCAAACACGAAAGUGGACGUAUACGGUGUGACGCCUGCCCGGUGCCGGAAGGUUAAUUGAUGGGGUCAGCGCAAGCGAAGCUCCUGAUCGAAGCCCCGGUAAACGGCGGCCGUAACUAUAACGGUCCUAAGGUAGCGAAAUUCCUUGUCGGGUAAGUUCCGACCUGCACGAAUGGCGUAAUGAUGGCCAGGCUGUCUCCACCCGAGACUCAGUGAAAUUGAACUCGCUGUGAAGAUGCAGUGUACCCGCGGCAAGACGGAAAGACCCCGUGAACCUUUACUAUAGCUUGACACUGAACAUUGAGCCUUGAUGUGUAGGAUAGGUGGGAGGCUUUGAAGUGUGGACGCCAGUCUGCAUGGAGCCGGCCUUGAAAUACCACCCUUUAAUGUUUGAUGUUCUAACGUGGACCCGUGAUCCGGGUUGCGGACAGUGUCUGGUGGGUAGUUUGACUGGGGCGGUCUCCUCCUAAAGAGUAACGGAGGAGCACGAAGGUUGGCUAAUCCUGGUCGGACAUCAGGAGGUUAGUGCAAUGGCAUAAGCCAGCUUGACUGCGAGCGUGACGGCGCGAGCAGGUGCGAAAGCAGGUCAUAGUGAUCCGGUGGUUCUGAAUGGAAGGGCCAUCGCUCAACGGAUAAAAGGUACUCCGGGGAUAACAGGCUGAUACCGCCCAAGAGUUCAUAUCGACGGCGGUGUUUGGCACCUCGAUGUCGGCUCAUCACAUCCUGGGGCUGAAGUAGGUCCCAAGGGUAUGGCUGUUCGCCAUUUAAAGUGGUACGCGAGCUGGGUUUAGAACGUCGUGAGACAGUUCGGUCCCUAUCUGCCGUGGGCGCUGGAGAACUGAGGGGGGCUGCUCCUAGUACGAGAGGACCGGAGUGGACGCAUCACUGGUGUUCGGGUUGUCAUGCCAAUGGCACUGCCCGGUAGCUAAAUGCGGAAGAGAUAAGUGCUGAAAGCAUCUAAGCACGAAACUUGCCCCGAGAUGAGUUCUCCCUGAGACUUUAGGUCUCCUGAAGGAACGUUGAAGACGACGACGUUGAUAGGCCGGGUGUGUAAGCGCAGCGAUGCGUUGAGCUAACCGGUACUAAUGAACCGUGAGGCUUAACCUUACA
rnacentral:rRNA from 1 species